rnacentral:rRNA from 1 species
GUUUCAGCCGCCGCGGUAAUACGGAAGGUCCGGGCGUUAUCCGGAUUUAUUGGGUUUAAAGGGAGCGUAGGCCGGAGAUUAAGCGUGUUGUGAAAUGUAGGUGCUCAACAUCUGCACUGCAGCGCGAACUGGUUUCCUUGAGUACGCACAAAGUGGGCGGAAUUCGUGGUGUAGCGGUGAAAUGCUUAGAUAUCACGAAGAACUCCGAUUGCGAAGGCAGCUCACUGGAGCGCAACUGACGCUGAAGCUCGAAAGUGCGGGUAUCGAACAGGAUUAGAUACCCUGGUAGUCCGCACGGUAAACGAUGGAUGCCCGCUGUUGGUCUGAAUAGGUCAGCGGCCAAGCGAAAGCAUUAAGCAUCCCACCUGGGGAGUACGCCGGCAACGGUGAAACUCAAAGGAAUUGACGGGGGCCCGCACAAGCGGAGGAACAUGUGGUUUAAUUCGAUGAUACGCGAGGAACCUUACCCGGGCUUGAAUUGCAGAGGAAGGAUUUGGAGACAAUGACGCCCUUUGGGGUCUCUGUGAAGGUGCUGCAUGGUUGUCGUCAGCUCGUGCCGUGAGGUGUCGGCUUAAGUGCCAUAACGAGCGCAACCCCUCUCCUUAGUUGCCAUCAGGUCAGGCUGGGCACUCUGGGGACACUGCCACCGUAAGGUGUGAGGAAGGUGGGGAUGACGUCAAAUCAGCACGGCCCUUACGUCCGGGGCUACACACGUGUUACAAUGGCAGGUACAGAGAGAUGGUGUUCUGCAAAGCGCAUCUAAUCCUUAAAGCCUGUCUCAGUUCGGACUGGGGUCUGCAACCCGACCCCACGAAGCUGGAUUCGCUAGUAAUCGCGCAUCAGCCAUGGCGCGGUGAAUACGUUCCCGGGCCUUGUACACACCGCCCGUCAAAC